rnacentral:lncRNA from 1 species
GGGAAAGACUGAAGCCCUGGUGCUACCCAGAGAACAGACUUGCUUCUCAGGAAGGGAUUUCAUACAAUUCUGACAAUUUGAUAACGUUUCAGGACCUGCUGGAGCCGAGACCUCAGUUUCCACCUCUGGACAUUGGGCUGCUAAGGGAUGAACCUGUUGUGCACGUGCUCCACGAAGGCCAGUAACUAUCAUUAUCCGAGGCUGUAGAGGACAACAGAUCCUGGAGAAAGAAAGCAAGCGUUGAAGGUGCCCGAAGAGCACACACUGUGGGACUGUGGGGCGAUGGAGCAGUUCAGUGCGUACGGGGACGGCUGUGGUGGGUGAGAGCUCACUGCUCCUACUGGGCGGCCUGGCCCACCUAUUGGGCCAGCUGCAGGCAUCUCAGAGGAACCGCCUUUAUAACAGGCCUCACCUUCCAUGAAGAAUGCAGGUGUCCAGACAAAGUUCAUCCCUCCAGGUGUCACUCAGGGACACCGACUUCACCGAAUCAAGCCAGUGUGCGCAGAAUUAACCAGGUCUUUGCGGGGAGGAGAAAAGCGGCUAGUCAGGCCUGGUGCCAUCUGUUUUUCUGUUUUGUCUUUAAGUGACAAGAGGGAUAUGUGUCCUCUGUCGGCUCCUCAAGUUUAUCGUGGUUAUUG